UUUAUGAGGAGAGGCCUGAGGCGGUGGAGGAAGCAGGUAAUCCGAUUUUAGGGUUGGAAGAGGAAACAGAGCUCUGGGAAAUGGGGCCGAUCGAGCUGGAUCUGGGCCUGCUCGUGCUCUAUCUUCACCAACAGGAGGAGGAAGAGGUGCCCAUGGAGGGAGAGGUGGCCAUGGAGUGGGAGGAGGGCGCGGGUGGCCGGGGUUGGCCGCGGAUCUCUGAAUGGCCCCGGGAGGAUUAGGCCAUGGUUCUGAGGCGGCUCGAGGAGGGGGUGCCCCGGGAGGAGGAGGCCAUGGUUCUACUCUAGGAGGAGGACGCCGCGGUUCUUCUCCGGGAGGAGGAGGCCAUGGAUCAUCGCCAGGAGGAGGCCAAGCCUGGGUGGGAGGAGCCGAAGCCACAGCGGGAGGAGUCCAAGCCGCGCCCGGAGGAGCCCAAGCCACGUCCGGAAGUUCCCCUGGAGCACAGCGUGCCGGGAGCUCCAACUGCUUUGAGAAACAGAGAUGGCGGGUCAUGAAGAAGAGGGAGAUGACAGCGUCCCCGAUCUGGAACAAGAUCCGGAUGCUCACAUGGAGGAGCUGGCUGUCCAGUUUGUGGAUACCUCGGGUUUUGCUGCACCUGCUGCUGCGAAGAGAACCCGGGGAAAGAACUGGAACCAUGCUGAGACCAUGCUCCUGAUUGAUCUCGUUCGGGAAAAACAUCUCGCGAAGAUUGCGGGGGAGGGAGGAGCAGCCAGCAUGUUCUCAUGACGAAGACACAGCGCAUCUUUCACCCUUUUGCUUUAGGGUUUAAAUGCACAUUGCGGAUGACAAGAGCCCCGCUGCCUGAGGAAGAAGACCGUGAACUUGAGGUUCGUCGGGCUGUGAUUGGGAGGAGGUUUUGCAUCGGCCUGUGGUGGGUGAAGCCUCGAAAUGUCACCACCUGGAGUAAGUUUUCUUUGGAGUAUUACGAUGUGGGGAGGUGGAAGAGGAAACUUCAGAUGGUGAAGAGGACGUUCUUCACCAUUUGUGGCAUGCUGGAGAGCGAGAUCCGGAAGCACGAUACCGGUUGGAGGAGUGUGGUGCUGGUGGACAAGCUUUUCAAGAACACAGAUUACUUGGAUCUGGCAGACAAGUUCGGCAUCGGGGAGUCCACAGCUCAUGAGAUUUUCAUGGACACUACUGUGGCGAUUGUCAAGUGUCUCAGGUACAAGAUUCAUUUUCCUUCAACCGCCAAGGAGGUUCGAGCUGUUGCUGCUGGCUUUCGACAAGUGACAGGAACCCGACUGCCUAAUGUUGCUGGAGCGAUCGACUGUACUCCGAGAUCAUCCGACCUACUAGACUGGACGGCAAGAGCUACUACGAUCGGAAGCAGCGUUACUCGGUCAUCUUGCAAGGGGUUUGUGAUGCCCAGAAGAGGUUCCUCAGUGUCUACGCUGGGUGGCCAGGACGCGUCCACGACAUGAGGGUUUUUCGUAAUUCAACCCUCAGGAACAAGAUUGUAGCAAGGGAGCUGCUGACAUCGCCCGUGGUGUUAGCAUAUGACGAUAGGAUCAAGCCAUACCUAGUGGGGGACAAAGGGUACCAACUCCAGAUUCCACACACAACUCUGAACCCGACACCAUCCAAGGCAGCUUUCAACCUUCAUCACCACCUUGCUCGGAUUGUUAUUGAGCAAGCAUUUGGACUUCUUAAAAUGAAGUUCAGAUGCUUGGAUCAAAAACAAAGGAUCCAGCCAAAGUACCUUCCCAACAUCAUCAAGAGUUGUUCUUGAUUGAUGUUGGGGAGACUGAUCUUUGGGCGGACAUCCAAGCUUGGAGGAAAGAGGUGAAAAGGCUCAAGGACCAGGACCUCUUUGUUGAUUACAGUGAUCCUGAGCAAGCGGAAGGGGAGCCUCGUGAGGAGUUGCACAGUCCAGAGGAUGUGAAAGAGGUUAGAGAGAACCUCACGUUUUCCCUGUGUCUUUGCCAGUGGCGUUCGUGUUUGCUUUGAAAUUUGCCGGGAUAUAAUUCUAAGCAUUUGAAUUUGAAUUUGAAAUUUCAAAAUUUGAAUUAA